UACGAGUGCUCCAAGCGUUAUCCGGAAUUAUUGGGCGUAAAGGGUGUGUAGGUGGUUGUGUUAGUCUUCUGUUAAAUUCUUCGGCUUAACCGGGGGCAUGCAGGGGAAACGGCACAACUAGAGGAUGCGAGAGGUAUAUGGAACUCAUGGAGUAGGGGUGAAAUCCGUUGAUAUCAUGGGGAACACCAAAUGCGAAGGCAAUAUACUGGCGCACUCCUGACACUGAAACACGAAAGCGUAGGUAGCGAAUGGG
rnacentral:rRNA from 1 species